CGCACCCGAGGGUGAUCUAAGAACUGCUAACUCUUUAGUCUGGUAAUAACAACCAGCUCCCUCU
rnacentral:tRNA from 1 species